UACGUAGGGUGCGAGCGUUAAUCGGAAUUACUGGGCGUAAAGCGUGCGCAGGCGGUCUGUUAAGACCGAUGUGAAAUCCCCGGGCUUAACCUGGGAACUGCAUUGGUGACUGGCAGGCUUUGAGUGUGGCAGAGGGAGGUAGAAUUCCACGUGUAGCAGUGAAAUGCGUAGAGAUGUGGAGGAAUACCGAUGGCGAAGGCAGGCCUCCUGGGCCAACACUGACGCUCAUGCACGAAAGCGUGGGGAGCAAACAGG
rnacentral:rRNA from 1 species